rnacentral:rRNA from 1 species
GACGAACGCUGGCGGCGUGCUUAACACAUGCAAGUCGAACGGAAAGGCCCUGCUUUUGUGGGGUGCUCGAGUGGCGAACGGGUGAGUAACCCGUGAGUAACCUGCCCUUGACUUUGGGAUAACUUCAGGAAACUGGGGCUAAUACCGGAUAGGAGCUCCUGCUGCAUGGUGGGGGUUGGAAAGUUUCGGCGGUUGGGGAUGGACUCGCGGCUUAUCAGCUUGUUGGUGGGGUAGUGGCUUACCAAGGCUUUGACGGGUAGCCGGCCUGAGAGGGUGACCGGCCACAUUGGGACUGAGAUACGGCCCAGACUCAUACGGGAGGCAGCAGUGGGGAAUAUUGCACAAUGGGCGGAAGCCUGAUGCAGCAACGCCGCGUGCGGGAUGACGGCCUUCGGGUUGUAAACCGCUUUCGCCUGUGACGAAGCGUGAGUGACGGUAAUGGGUAAAGAAGCACCGGCUAACUACGUG